rnacentral:rRNA from 1 species
ACUCCUACGGGAGGCAGCAGUGGGGAAUCUUGCGCAAUGGGCGAAAGCCUGACGCAGCGACGCCGCGUGAGUGAUGAAGGCCUUCGGGUUGUAAAGCACUUUAAGUUGGGAAGAAAAAACUCGCUCUAACACAGUGAGUCUUGACGGUACCGACAGAAUAAGCACCGGCUAACUCUGUGCCAGCAGCCGCGGUAAU